GACGAACGCUGGCGGUAUGCUUAACACAUGCAAGUCGAACGAGAAGUUUUUUAUUGAACCUUCGGGGGAUAUAAGAGACAGACAGUGGCGAACGGGUGAGUAACGCGUGGGCAACCUACCUAUCGGAGCGGGAUAGCCUCGAGAAAUCGGGAGUAAAACCGCAUAACACGGAUAUAUCGCAUGAUGAAUCCGUCAAAACUCCGGUGCCGAUAGAUGGGCCCGCGUCUGAUUAGCUAGUUGGUAAGGUAAGGGCUUACCAAGGCAACGAUCAGUAGCCGGUGUGAGAGGGCGAACGGCCACACUGGAACUGAGACACGGUCCAGACUCCUACGGGAGGCAGCAGUGGGGAAUAUUGCGCAAUGGGGGCAACCCUGACGCAGCAAUACCGCGUGAGUGAAGAAGGUUUUCGGAUGGUAAAGCUCUGUUAUUGGGGAAGAAGCAGGACGGUAC
rnacentral:rRNA from 1 species